rnacentral:rRNA from 1 species
UACGUAGGGGGCAAGCGUUAAUCGGAAUUACUGGGCGUAAAGCGUGCGCAGGCGGUUUUGUAAGUCUGGCGUGAAAUCCCCGGGCUCAACCUGGGAAUUGCGUUGGAGACUGCAAGGCUGGAGUAUGGCAGAGGGGGGUAGAAUUCCACGUGUAGCAGUGAAAUGCGUAGAGAUGUGGAGGAAUACCGAUGGCGAAGGCAGCCCCCUGGGCCAAUACUGACGCUCAUGCACGAAAGCGUGGGGAGCAAACAGG